CCUACGGGAUGCAGCAGUCGAGAAUAAUUCACAAUGGGGGAAACCUGAUGGUGCAACGCCGCGUGGAGGAUGAAGGUCUUCGGAUUGUAAACUCCUGUCAUUCGAGAGUAAGACUUGGUCGUGAAUAGCGGACAAGUUUGAUAGUAUCGGAAGAGGAAGGGACGGCUAACUUCGUGCCAGCAGCCGCGGUAAUACGAAGGUCCCAAGCGUUGUUCGGAAUCACUGGGCGUAAAGGGAGCGUAGGCGGCGUGGUAAGUCAGAUGUGAAAUCCCGGGGCUCAAGCCCGGAACUGCAUCCGAUACUGCCAUGCUUGAGGGUUGGAGAGGUAGCUGGAAUUCUCGGUGUAGCAGUGAAAUGCGUGGAUAUCGAGAGGAACACUCGUGGCGAAGGCGAGCUACUGGACAACAUCUGACGCUGAGGCUCGAAGGCUAGGGGAGCGAAAGGGAUUAGAUACCCGGGUAGUC
rnacentral:rRNA from 1 species